GCUGCAGUUGGAUUUCGUU
rnacentral:miRNA from 1 species